rnacentral:misc_RNA from 1 species
AAGUCGUAACAAGGUUUCCGUAGGUGAACCUGCGGAAGGAUCAUUAACGAGUCGUUACGGGGUUGUUUGCUGGCUUCUGUCACGGGAGCAUGUGCACGCCUCGCAUCCACUUCAACCUCACCUGUGCACUUCAGAGGACCUCUUCGGUCUUCUUUCACACAAACCACAUAAUGUCAUAGUAGAACGUUUUUUGUUAUUAAACAAUACAACUUUCAACAACGGAUCUCUUGGCUCUC